rnacentral:rRNA from 1 species
GGGCCCGCACAAGCGGUGGAGUAUGUGGUUUAAUUCGAUGCAACGCGAAGAACCUUACCAGGGUUUGACAUCCUGCGAAUCUCUUAGAAAUAGGAGAGUGCCUUCGGGAACGCAGUGACAGGUGCUGCAUGGCUGUCGUCAGCUCGUGUUGUGAAAUGUUGGGUUAAGUCCCGUAACGAGCGCAACCCUUGUCCUUAUUUGCCAGCGCGUAAUGGCGGGAACUCUAAGGAGACUGCCGGUGACAAACCGGAGGAAGGUGGGGACGACGUCAAGUCAUCAUGGCCCUUACGAGUAGGGCUACACACGUGCUACAAUGGUCGGUACAAAGGGUUGCGAGCUCGCGAGAGUCAGCCAAUCCCGAAAAGCCGAUCUCAGUCCGGAUCGGAGUCUGCAACUCGACUCCGUGAAGUCGGAAUCGCUAGUAAUCG